UACGUAGGGUGCGAGCGUUGUCCGGAAUUAUUGGGCGUAAAAGAGCUCGUAGGCGGUUUGUCGCGUCGACUGUGAAAACCUACAGCUUAACUGUGGGCUUGCAGUCGAUACGGGCAGACUUGAGUUCGGUAGGGGAGACUGGAAUUCCUGGUGUAGCGGUGAAAUGCGCAGAUAUCAGGAGGAACACCGGUGGCGAAGGCGGGGUCUCUGGGCCGAUACUGACGCUGAGGAGCGAAAGCGUGGGGAGCGAACAGG
rnacentral:rRNA from 1 species